UUGAUAAGUCUCUGGUGAAAUCUCACAGGUUAACUGUGGGAAUUGUUGGGGAUACUGUUAGGCUUGAGGCCGGGAGAGGUUGGAGGUACUCCCGGGGUAGGGGUGAAAUCUUGUAAUCCUGGGAGGACCACCUGUGGCGAAGGCGUCCAACUGGAACGGACCUGACGGUGAGUAACGAAAGCCAGGGGAGCGAACCGGAUUAGAUACCCGGGUAGUCCUGGCCGUAAACGAUGUGGACUUGGUGUUGGGAUGGCUCCAAGCUGCCCCAGUGCCGAAGGGAAGCUGUUAAGUCCACCGCCUGGGAAGUACGGUCGCAAGACUGAAACUUAAAGGAAUUGG
rnacentral:rRNA from 1 species